rnacentral:rRNA from 1 species
CUAAGAAUAUUCCGCAAUGGACGGAAGUCUGACGGAGCGACGCCGCGUGGAUGACGAAGGCCGAAAGGUUGUAAAGUUCUUUUGCUGGGGAAGAAUAACCGCAGGAGGGAAUGCCUGUGGGAUGACAAGAACCGGCGAAUAAGCCCCGGCCAACUACGUGCCAGCAGCCGCGGUAACACGUAGGGGGCGAGCGUUGUUCGGAAUUACUGAGCGUAAAGGGCAUGUAGGCGGCUUGGAAAGCCUGGCGUGAAAGUCUGCAGCUUAACUGCAGGGGUGCGCUGGGAACUGCUGAGCUUGAGUGACGGAGAGGGAGCUGGAAUUCCUGGUGUAGGGGUGGAAUCUGUAGAUAUCAGGAAGAACACCGAUGGCAAAGGCAAGCUCCUGGCCGAUGACUGACGCUGAGGUGCGAAAGUGUGGGGAUCAAACAGGAUUAGAUACCCUGGUAGUCCACACAGUCAACGAUGUGCACUAGGUGCUGGGGCGGUAGCUUCGGUGCCGGAGCGAACGUGGUAAGUGCACCGCCUGGGGAGUAUGCUCGCAAGGGUGAAACUC